GGUUAAGUGACUAAGCGUACACGGUGGAUGCCUGGGCAGUCAGAGGCGAUGAAGGACGUACUAACUUGCGAUAAGCGCAGAUAAGGCAGUAAGAGCCGUUUGAGUCUGCGAUUUCCGAAUGGGGAAACCCAACUGCAUAAGCAGUUACUGUUAACUGAAUACAUAGGUUAACAGAGCAAACCGGGGGAACUGAAACAUCUAAGUACCCCGAGGAGAAGAAAUCAACCGAGAUUCCGGUAGUAGCGGCGAGCGAACCUGGAUUAGCCCUUAAGCACUCGGUGAAGUAGGUGAACAAGCUGGAAAGCUUGGCGAUACAGGGUGAUAGCCCCGUAACCGACGCUUCAUCGAGCGUGAAAUCGAGUAGGGCGGGACACGUGAUAUCCUGUCUGAAUAUGGGGGGACCAUCCUCCAAGGCUAAAUACUCCUGACUGACCGAUAGUGAACCAGUACCGUGAGGGAAAGGCGAAAAGAACCCCUGUGAGGGGAGUGAAAUAGAACCUGAAACCGUGUACGUACAAGCAGUAGGAGCACCUUCGUGGUGUGACUGCGUACCUUUUGUAUAAUGGGUCAGCGACUUAUAUUCAGUGGCAAGGUUAACCGUAUAGGGGAGCCGUAGCGAAAGCGAGUCUUAACUGGGCGCUCAGUCUCUGGAUAUAGACCCGAAACCGGGUGAUCUAGCCAUGGGCAGGUUGAAGGUUGAGUAACAUCAACUGGAGGACCGAACCGACUAAUGUUGAAAAAUUAGCGGAUGACUUGUGGCUAGGGGUGAAAGGCCAAUCAAACUCGGAGAUAGCUGGUUCUCCCCGAAAGCUAUUUAGGUAGCGCCUCGGACGAAUACUACUGGGGGUAGAGCACUGUUAAGGCUAGGGGGUCAUCCCGACUUACCAACCCUUUGCAAACUCCGAAUACCAGUAAGUACUAUCCGGGAGACACACGGCGGGUGCUAACGUCCGUCGUGGAGAGGGAAACAACCCAGACCGCCAGCUAAGGUCCCAAAGUAUUGCUAAGUGGGAAACGAUGUGGGAAGGCUCAGACAGCUAGGAUGUUGGCUUAGAAGCAGCCAUCAUUUAAAGAAAGCGUAAUAGCUCACUAGUCGAGUCGGCCUGCGCGGAAGAUGUAACGGGGCUAAGCAAUACACCGAAGCUGCGGC
rnacentral:rRNA from 1 species